rnacentral:snoRNA from 1 species
CUCAAUGAUGUUAACCCUGUUUUGAUUUUGUUUUUCAACGAAAACAUGAAAUUAUAAUUUCUUAUUCGUCACUACCUCUGAGU